AUGAACGCUAGCGACAGGCCUAACACAUGCAAGUCAGGGGCAGCACAAGGAGCAAUCUGAGGUGGCGACCGGCGCACGGGUGAGUAACACGUAUGCAACCUGCCUGUAAGCGGGGAAUAACCCGUUGAAAGACGGACUAAUACCGCAUAAUACUAAAUUACUGCAUGGUAAUUAUUUAAACAUUUAUGGCUUACAGAUGGGCAUGCGCAUGAUUAGCUAGUUGGAGAGGUAACGGCUCCCCAAGGCAACGAUCAUUAGGGGUUCUGAGAGGAAGGUCCCCCACACUGGUACUGAGACACGGACCAGACUCCUACGGGAGGCAGCAGUGAGGAAUAUUGGUCAAUGGACGAGAGUCUGAACCAGCCAAGUCGCGUGCAGGAAGAAUGUCCUAAUGGAUUGUAAACUGCUUUUGCAGGGGAAUAAAGUGCAUCACGUGUGAUGUUUUGUAUGUACUCUGCGAAUAAGGAUCGGCUAACUCCGUGCCAGCCGCUGC
rnacentral:rRNA from 1 species